rnacentral:rRNA from 1 species
UCUUAAUUUAUUUAAAUUAUAAAAAAUAUUAAUUAAAAUAUUAAUAGUAUAAAAAAUUUUUAUUAAAAUUUAUUUAACAAAAUAAUUAUUUUAUAGUAAAUUAGUAUAGUAAUAGAAUGAUGAAAUAUUUAAAAAUUAAAUUUUUUAUAAGUAGAUUUUUUUUAUUGUAUCUUGUGUAUCAGAGAUUAUUUAAAAUAUAUUUUAAAAUAAAAUUUUUUCGAAACUUAAAGAGUUAAUUAAUUGUUAUAGUUAUUGUAAUAUAAAUAUUAUUUACUAUUAAUUAGAAAUGAGAUGUUAAUCGUUUUAAGUGAUAUCUAAUUUUUAAAGAAAUAAAUUUAAUUUAUUUAUUUUUAUAAAAAUUAAAAUUUUUAAUUAUCAAAUUUUAUUAAAAAUAACUAUAUCAAAUGGGAUAAGCUUUUUGUUAUAAUUUUAAAUAAAUUGAAUAAAUUUUUAAAAUUAAUAAAAAUAAAAUUAUUUAUUAAUUAUAUUUUUUUAUAAAAAAUUUUUUUUUAAAUUAUAUUUUAAUAUAUAAUAUUAUUAAUAGUUAGUUUAUUUAAAUAUGUGCUUGAAUAAUAUAGGUACAGGAAUAAUGAUAAUAUUAGUAUAUAAAUUAUUUAUAAUUAAUUUAAUUUUUAAUUUAAAUUUGUAUUAUAUUUUUAAGAAUUCGGCAAAAUUAAUGUAUUCGCUUGUUUAACAAAAACAUGUCUUUUUGAUAAAUAAUUUAAAGUCUAAUCUGCCCCCUGAAAUUAUUUUAAAGGGCUGCGGUAUCUUAACCGUACAAAGGUAGCAUAAUAAUUAGGUUUUUAAUUGAAAUCUAGAAUGAAUGAUUGGACGAGAUACAAGCUGUUUUAAAAUAUUAAGUAAAACUUAAUUUUUUAGUUAAAAAGCUAAAAUUUAAUUAAAAGACGAGAAGACCCUAUAAAUCUUUAUAAUUAAUUUAUUUUAAUUUAUUAUUUAAUUGAAAUUUAAUUUAAAUAGAAUAAUUAUUUUAUUGGGGCGAUAUAAAAAUUUUUUAAACUUUUUAUAAAAAUUUACUUUAAUUAAAGAUUUCAUAAUUUUGAUCUAUUAUUAAUAAUUCAAAGAAUAAGAUACUUUAGGGAUAACAGCGUAAUUUUAAUUUUAAGUUCAUAUUAAAAUUAAAGAUUGCGACCUCGAUGUUGGAUUAAAAUUUAAUUUAAAUGCAAAAGUUUAAAAAUUAAGUCUGUUCGACUUUUAAAAUUUUACAUGAUCUGAGUUCAAACCGGUGUGAGCCAGGUUGGUUUCUAUCUUUAAUAAAAAAUAAUUUUUUAGUACGAAAGGAUCAAGAAUUUUAUAUAAAUAUAUUUAAAUUUGAAAUAAAUUAAAUUGAGAA